rnacentral:rRNA from 1 species
AUUGAACGCUGGCGGCAGGCCUAACACAUGCAAGUCGAACGAGUGGCGGACGGGUGAGUAAUGUCUGGGAAACUGCCCGAUGGAGGGGGAUACCUACUGGAAACGGUAGCUAAUACCGCAUACCAUCGGAUGUGCCCAGAUGGGAUUAGCUAGUAGGUGGGGUAACGGCUCACCUAGGCGACGAUCCCUAGCUGGUCUGAGAGGAUGCUCAUCCACACUGGAACGGAGACACGGUCCAGACUCCUACGGGAGGCAGCAGUGGGGAAUAUUGCACAAUGGGCGCAAGCCUGAUGCAGCCAUGCCGCGUGUAUGAAGAAGGCCUUCGGGUUGUAAAGUACUUUCAGCGGGGAGGCGUUACCCGCAGAAGAAGCACCGGCUAACUCCGUGCCAGCAGCCGCGGUAAUAC